rnacentral:rRNA from 1 species
GCAAGUUUUUAAGGGCGCACGGUGGAUGCCUUGGCAUCAGGAGCCGAUGAAGGACGCGGUAAUCUGCGAUAAGCCUCGGGGAGCUGAUAAACGAGCUGUGAUCCGAGGGUCUCCGAAUGGGGAAACCCCGCCACGUGUUAUGCGUGGUGACCCGCACCUGAAUUCAUAGGGUGUGUGGAGGGAACGUGGGGAAGUGAAACAUCUCAGUACCCACAGGAAGAGAAAACAACAGUGAUUCCGUCAGUAGUGGCGAGCGAACGCGGAAGAGGCCAACCGAUGGUGUGUGAUACCCGGCAGGGGUUGCAUCAUCGGGGUCGUGGGGCGUGUCGUCCCGGGUCUGCCGGCCCGGGCGUGUGAGUGCAGGGCGAUAGUCGAACCGGUGUGAGUGCCGGACCGGAGAGGGUGAGAGUCCCGUAGACGAAAUCGUUGCUGCCGCACGGUACGCGUACCCAAGUAGCACGGGGCCCGAGAAAUCCCGUGUGAAUCUGCCAGGACCACCUGGUAAGCCUAAAUACUACCUGAUGACCGAUAGCGGACCAGUACCGUGAGGGAAAGGUGAAAAGUACCCCGGGAGGGGAGUGAAAUAGUACCUGAAACCGUGUGCCUACAAACCGUCGGAGCCCUACAAGGUGACGGCGUGCCUUUUGAAGAAUGAGCCUGCGAGUUAGUGUUACGUCGCGAGGUUAACCCGUGAGGGGUAUCCGUAGCGAAAGCGAGUCUGAACAGGGCGAGUGAGUGGCGUGAUCUAGACCCGAAGCGAAGUGAUCUACCCAUGGCCAGGUUGAAGCGCGUGUAAGAGCGCGUGGAGGACCGAACCCACUUCAGUUGAAAAUGGAGGGGAUGAGCUGUGGGUAGGGGUGAAAGGCCAAUCAAACUUCGUGAUAGCUGGUUCUCCCCGAAAUGCAUUUAGGUGCAGCGUUACGUGUUUCUUGCCGGAGGUAGAGCUACUGGAUGGCCGAUGGGCCCUACAAGGUUACUGACGUCAGCCAAACUCCGAAUGCCGGUAAGUGAGAGCGUAGCAGUGAGACUGUGGGGGAUAAGCUUCAUAGUCGAGAGGGAAACAGCCCAGACCACCAACUAAGGCCCCUAAGCGUGUGCUAAUGGGAAAGGAUGUGGAGUUGCUUAGACAACCAGGAGGUUGGCUUAGAAGCAGCCACCCUUGAAAGAGUGCGUAAUAGCUCACUGGUCAAGUGAUUCCGCGCCGACAAUGUAGCGGGGCUCAAGUACACCGCCGAAGUUGUGGCAUUGCACCAAUGAUACCCAACCGGUCUUCGGGCCGGUUCAGGUGGUGCGAUGGGUAGGGGAGCGUCGUGUGGGCAGUGAAGCUGCGGGGUGACCCAGUGGUGGAGCCCACACGAGUGAGAAUGCAGGCAUGAGUAGCGAAUGACGGGUGAGAAACCCGUCCGCCGGAUGAUCAAGGGUUCCAGGGUCAAGCUAAUCUGCCCUGGGUCAGUCGGGACCUAAGGCGAGGCCGACAGGCGUAGUCGAUGGACAACGGGUUGAUAUUCCCGUACCGGCGAAGAACCGCCCCUAUCGAACCGGGGACACUAACCACCCGAACCGGGCCAUGCGGUGACCAUUGGUCGCCGCCGGCUCCGGGGAGCGUGGGACCUGAACCGGGGAGGUAAGCGUAUUAACAGGUGUGACGCAGGAAGGUAGCCGAGCCGGGCGAUGGUAGACCCGGUCUAAGCGUGUAGGGCGAUCCGUUGGCAAAUCCGCGGAUCAUUGAGCCUGAGACGUGACGGGACCCCCAUUCGUGGGGGGAUUCGGUGAUCCUAUGCUGCCGAGAAAAGCAUCGACGCGAGGUUCCAGCCGCCCGUACCCCAAACCGACACAGGUGAUCAGGUAGAGAAUACUAAGGCGAUCGAGAGAAUCAUGGUUAAGGAAACUCGGCAAAAUGCCCCCGUAACUUCGGGAGAAGGGGGGCCCCGACCGUGGACACCACUUGCUGGUGCGAGGGGUAAGGGCCGCAGAGACCAGGGGGAAGCGACUGUUUAUCAAAAACACAGGUCCGUGCGAAGUCGCAAGACGAUGUAUACGGACUGACUCCUGCCGGUGCUGGAAGGUUAAGAGGACCUGUUAGCCUCACGGCGAAGCGGAGAAUUUAAGCCCCAGUAAACGGCGGUGGUAACUAUAACCAUCCUAAGGUAGCGAAAUUCCUUGUCGGGUAAGUUCCGACCUGCACGAAUGGAGUAACGACUUCCCCGCUGUCUCAACCAUGAACUCGGCGAAAUUGCAGUACGAGUAAAGAUGCUCGUUACGCGCAGCAGGACGGAAAGACCCCGAGACCUUUACUAUAGUUUGGUAUUGGUGUUCGGUGUGGCUUGUGUAGGAUAGGUGGGAGACGGUGAAGCGGGCACGCCAGUGCACGUGGAGUCAACGUUGAAAUACCACUCUGGUCACUCUGGACAUCUAACUUCGGCCCGUGAUCCGGGUCAGGGACAGUGCCUGAUGGGUAGUUUAACUGGGGCGGUUGCCUCCUAAAGAGUAACGGAGGCGCCCAAAGGUUCCCUCAGCCUGGUUGGCAAUCAGGUGUCGAGUGUAAGUGCACAAGGGAGCUUGACUGUGAGAGCGACAGCUCGAGCAGGGACGAAAGUCGGGACUAGUGAUCCGGCGGUACAUUGGAAUGGCCGUCGCUCAACGGAUAAGGUACCUCGGGGAUAACAGGCUGAUCUUGCCAAGAGUCCAUAUCGACGGCAUGGUUUGGCACCUCGAUGUCGGCUCGUCGCAUCCUGGGGCUGGAGUUGGUCCCAAGGGUUGGGCUGUUCGCCCAUUAAAGCGGUACGCGAGCU